UCGGGACUCAGCAGGAAUUUCUAAUCUAAGACGAUUCAUUGCGUAUCUGAAUUCAUACGAGUCGCAUUUCAGAAAUACCCUGGCUACUCUACACUUCCGCAAUUUGAAAACUGAUAAGGAAAAGAAAUAUAGAUUUAUAGAAAAGUGUCACUGAACUUUUUUUCAUAGAGUGAUAUACCACUGUCAGUAUAGUAAGCACAGUAUUGUGGCGCCCGUGAUAAAGCUGGUUGAUACCAAGUACUUUCGGAAUAUAUUUAUACGCUGUACGUAGGACGUUGACCAAUGAUCGAACGCAUUUUGUUGUUGGUCGUCUAGUUCGACAAACGGCAAGCACUCACACGUGACUCACACGAUAUUUUAGUCAAUUUAGUUCAUCGAUGGCACCGGCAUGCUUCUUCUGCAAUUGUUUUCCACCGCACUCAUCAUCGCCGUGAAUAAGUGGAUGCUUUUAACGCUUUCUGUCUCCACGCUAUGAACGCUAUUCUGCAGAAUGAUGAUGGGGAAAGAGAUCGAACGGGUCUGAUUUUGUAUGCGUGCUUAAUUGCGAACACGACCGAGCUUUCGACAAACCACGUGCAUUAAACUCGCCUCAAGUUUUCUGCCCCCUCGGACUCGAUGUUCAGUGCGUGUAGAAGUUACUCGGCGACGUGGAUCGUGAAAUCACAUAUGAGUUGAAAAAUUUUCUACAGUAGCCAAGUGGUCCGAACUGUAUAUAGAACGUGUGUCAGAACUAGUUACAAGUUCGGAAGGUCUAUUUUGAACAGAUACCUGGAUAUCGGAUAUUAUGCACUCGGCGGAAAGGACAGCCUCUAUCAUCCAACCAGUCCUGGAAUAAUGCUUUACACAGUAAGCACGCGUAUGGGUGAGUGGUGCGAAUCCAGAAACGGCGGUCAUCAGUUAAAGGUUCGGUGCGAUGUACCAUUGUGUGGACAUAACAGCGCCACCGCUCGGCAACCCACGCAAACUAGUCGAUUAUCUAAUGUUGGCACCCCUCACCAGGUGGCACUACAAUUAACGUUUUGAGAGUUUUCUGCGUUUCAAACUUAUCAGGCACAAAUAAAAAACCAAAUAGUUCGGGUUUAGAUUACACGAAAAAAUGAAGAUAAGAAAAAAAAUUCUUAUUUAAAUAGAAAAGAUCAGGGCACGUAAUUUCAAAUUCUAGUCUUAAUGACAAGUUAUUCGUGACGUUAACUAACGUGCUCACGUUACAAAUAAAACCUCUUGUUAAUCGAUUUGUACUACUUUGUAAAAUAUGAUUCGCCGUGUAGAAAAGCUUUCAUCAUGGCCUCAAUGCUAUCACUUGAAAAAUUCGAU